rnacentral:lncRNA from 1 species
CGACCCCCCCCACCCCCGCCGCAACGGGCACCGCUUUCCACGGCCGCUUGUUGUCCCCCUAGAAGGAAUCACUCGUCCCUCCCUCCAGCGGUCGGUGCUGACCCCAGCGUGCCCUGUAGCCCCCCCCGGCCGUUCCCUUCCGGUCUCUCCUCCUCUGCUGCCCCCAGACUCUUCGUGGUCUGCUCCUGGAAGAGGGAGGCAGGGGCGGCCUCGCCCACCGCGGGAUCUGCGGGGGUCGACCCAGCAUUCGGCACCUCACUUCUGCCCCCAGCUCUGACCCUGCACCCCCACCCGUGCCCAGAGCAGUCUGGGCUAACCCUGCGGGUCCCCGGCUCGGGAGGAUGGGCGGCUUUCCAGAGCUCAGGGAUCCACAGAUCCCAGAGGGGAUGCUAGAAGAGGGGCUGAUGCCCAAGUCCCCAGAGACCAGCCAGCGUGCCCUGGGACUCUCAUCUCCUCCUCAUGGAUUUCUCAGACCUCAGAGCCCUGUGGCUCACCUCUCAUUCUCCUGGCUGAGGGGCACAGCCCCCCACGAUCCACCUGUCCUCUCCCCCAACCCCAUCCCCUCCCAGGAGCCACAGGUCCCUCCAGCGCCCUGCUGGAGUCUCCUGCAGACUUCCAGGUUGGUGACCCAGGCCCAGCUGUCACAAGGCAACCCGAUUCUUUCCUGUUUGGAGGUCUGGCCCUCUGCCAGGUUCUCUCCUUCUGAUGAACUUUGUGGUCUUGGAUCAGGCCCUUCAGCUAGUUGUACCAUAAACAGCUCUCCACUGAGGGGCGCCCAUCAUCUCCCCCCUCCCAGAAACAGGGCAGAGAAUCUGCACGUGGAUCCACCUCCUGCCAGGGCUGGGCUUCUUCAGCAGAUGACAGAGGCUUUGAGAGUGGCAUCUGCAACAUCUGCGCCUUCACCCCUUUACCUGGACACCUUGGCCCACCACAGCCUGAUCCUCUGCCAUGCUGUCACCUCCGCCAGCAGCUGCGCCCCCAGCCGCCCAGGCUUCUCACCCGCCUGCCCCAGGGGAGGAGGGGAAAAGGAGGAGAGCAUGGGAAAGAGAGAGCCCCAGAUGCCUCUGCUGCAGGGAACCCCGUCCUGGUCUCCCCCCAAGGGAUGAAUAGUAUUCCAGUGUGUGGCUAUAGCACAUUUGUUGAUCCGUUCAUCCAUCAAUGGACACUGGGUUGCAUCCACCUCUUGGCUGCUGGAAUUGUGCUGCCGUGAACCUGGAUGCACCCGGGCUCUCAUGAUUGAUACAUUGUCUCCUGACAUCACCUUACCGUGAGCAGGUGUGCUCUGAGCGUCCGCAUCUGAGAGAGCGAGGCUGAGCAGGAGGCCCACGUGCAGAGAAGGACAGAGACCUUCCUGAAAGGUCCAUCAGGCAGCUGUGGCCACACUCCCUUCUGGGGGGGCGGGGGCGGGAAUACGGAGGGGCUUUUCCUUCUCACCUGGCAUCGUUCUGGUCUGUUUGAGUUUGUAACAUGUGCCAUGAUCCCUUAUACACUAGAAGAAAGCGAG